GGCCUUAUAACUGUUAUCGCCAUCUCGAAAAACGUGUGCGGGUUUUUUUUUUUUUUUUUUUUGCUCCCAGCCUGCCCAGAUUUCAGGAAGGAAAGAAGAUCUUUUGCUUCUUCGGUCGCUGGGUCGGCUCUCCAGUGUCUGAUGUUUACUGAAAUCUUGAUCGUGGUUAGCCUCCCCCAGGACUUCAUUGUUUGGAAGAUGCCUUCGCCAAGCAAUCUGAGCUCCAGGCCGGGAAGCCCCAAGGUCACAAAUUUUAAUGGAGCCCUGAAACUAAACAGAAAUCAUCCCUCCCACUAGAACAAGAGCCCCUAGAGGCCAGCGACACCGCUAAAAUAACAUGUGUAGACCAAUGCCGUCCAGGUAACAGUGCCUGGCAAACACGGUAGAGGUUCAAUAAAUACAUUUUAACUCAA
ensembl:lncRNA HCG14 HLA complex group 14